rnacentral:miRNA from 10 species
GUUCAGAAGUCUACGUAUUAGGUUGGUGCAAAAGUAAUUGCGGCUUUUGCCAUUCAUUUGGCACCAAGCUAAUACACAAUUACAAGCCAAAGUAGAUAUCUCUCCCUCUUCC